AUCAGCUCUGAAGAGAUAAAAACAACAAGUCAAAAAGACAGGCAUGGACAGGACAGGACAACAAAAGUGUGUGUUUACAUACAGACUCUUGGUCUUCUUCCUCAGGUGACGGUUUCUGAACUCUAAGUCCUGAACAAACAAAACAGCAGAGGUUCUAUCAAACUCAGCCUUAAUGUGUACACUUUAUGGCACAAUAUCCUAAUCACUUCUGGUUUCUACUGGUCUGGUCUGGUCUGUUCUUCUAAUGCACUGAUCUGACCUGCUCUGGUUUUGCUUCCCCUAUCACGGUUUGUUCUGGUUCCUACUGCUCUGUCAUUGCAUGAUCUGGUUUGUAUUGUUAUAUCUUGGUUUUGUGUGUGUUGCUAUAAUGGUUUGUUGUGUCUCAACUGCUGUA